rnacentral:rRNA from 1 species
GCUGGCGGCGUGCCUAACACAUGCAAGUCGAACGAGAAAGUGGAGCAAUCCAUGAGUAAAGUGGCGACCGGGUGAGUAACACGUGACUAACCUACCUCCGAGUGGGGAAUAACUCCGGGAAACCGGGGCUAAUACCGCAUAACAUCGCAAGAUCAAAGCAGCAAUGCGCUUGGAGAGGGGGUCGCGGCUGAUUAGCUCGUUGGCGGGGUAACGGCCCACCAAGGCGAAGAUCGGUAUCCGGGCUGAGAGGGCGCACGGACACACUGGAACUGAAACACGGUCCAGACUCCUACAGGAGGCACCAAUGGGGAAUUUAGCGCAAUGGGGGAAAUCCUGACGCAUCAACGCCGCGUGGAGGAUGAAGCCCUUUGGGGCGUAAACUCCUUUCGACUCGGACGAUAAUGACGGUACGAGUGGAAGAAGCACCGGCUAACUCUGUGCCAGCAGACGCGGUAAUACAGAGGGUGCGAGCGUUGUUCGGAAUUAUUGGGCGUAAAGGGCGCGUAGGCGGUGCGGUAAGUCACCUGUGAAAUCUCC